UCUGCAUUCAGGCACUGUGUUUCCCACCAGGCCUGAGAGCCGCUGACAGCCACAGAAAACAGACACCGAGUUUGAGACAUGCACUUAUAUAGAAACCGUUAGAGAUAGUCUGUGUGUGUGUUUUGUUGAAAAGCUAACACACACACACACACACACACACACCAAAGAACGGGUGCUGAGAGCUUGAAACUGUUUACACCAUGUGGGUGUCAAGCAGAAUGUGAGCCAGCUGCAGAACUCAGACAAACCCAUCAGUGUUUCAGGACGACAGACUCCGGUCAGCUCCGACAGGGUGAUCCUAUCUGCAGGACUGGGAAGGAGCCAGCAUAGUGUUCCUGUUUUCAGUGGGAGCCACCAGUAAGUAAUGUUCUCGAAAGGCCAAUUGCUGACGCAAUUCUUUUCUUCAACGGCAGCCUGUAAGUCAGGCUGUAACCGCACAACGACACGUUGGCAGGUUGGAAAUGGAGGGAAAACGAUGCGUGCCGCUUCAUGAAUCAUCGGGCUCAAACUCAUAAGUAUGCAGGCGAGCAGAGAGGACGCUUGUUAUUUCAACACUGUUGGUGUUCGGUGGGUUUUUGCAUCCUGGAUUCAUUGGGACAAAGGAGCUAAAGAGGGCUGCUUACUAAGAUCACAUGCAUCUACAUCUACAAAAAAAAAAACACCGAAAGAUGUGAGUGCUGAGCUCACCAGUGAGAGAAACACAGGGGGUUAAAGCCCAAGUACCAAGUGGGAGUGGGGAGAAGUCCAGAUUCAAGUCACAGAGUCUGCUUUCUCCUUCCUUCAGUGAAGAUCCCAGAGGCCUCUAAGCCAACAGUAGGUGUGGUGGUUACUUAGCAACCCUCCACGCAAACUGCCAGAGGACAAAGCAAGGGAGAAGAGGUUGAGUCCAGAACAAUCCCUGGUUCCCCCUCCUUCUCUGCUGGGAGUACUUAGACUUUAACCUUCCGCACAGCUCUCACACCGACCAGCUCAACAAUAACCUCUCAGCGCUGAAUCCCCUCUCAAGGGAAAUGAAGAACAGGGAUGGACAACACGUCUGUAACCCAUUCAUGGUCUACUCCACCCCAACAAGCCAGAAAAUAAAUUACUGUAGCUAAACUGAAAUAAUCAUACAUUGAGAAUUAUUGUAUUAUAGUACGUAACUAUAUUAAUAAAUGCAUUUAAAAUCAAUAAAAUAGAAAAGGUACUACCACACUGUGUCUGAAAUUAGUUAUGUUUUACUUGCACAAUCCUUUGUCUCCAUUGUCA
ensembl:lncRNA